rnacentral:snoRNA from 1 species
UGGAGGACUGAGAAGGUGGGGCAGUUCCGUUCCGUGCUGCUGUCCAUUGGUUAAGACCUCCGACAGUAAAGGGCUGACCAGGCAAAGCAUGCCCCUCCCUCCUUGCCGCCGUGGAGGGGCAGCGCUGUGCUGGCCCACAUUUG